GAGCCCCGCUGUAGCUCAGUGGUGGAGCAGCUACUCUGCUUGCAAGAAGUUUCUAGGUUCAAUCCCUGGUGGCCUCU